rnacentral:rRNA from 1 species
UAAUACAUGCAAGUCGAACGAGAUCCUCGGAUCUAGUGGCGCACGGGUGCGUAACGCGUGGGAAUCUGCCCUUGGGUUCGGAAUAACGUCGGGAAACUGACGCUAAUACCGGAUGAUGACGAAAGUCCAAAGAUUUAUCGCCCAGGGAUGAGCCCGCGUAGGAUUAGCUAGUUGGUGAGGUAAAGGCUCACCAAGGCUACGAUCCUUAGCUGGUCUGAGAGGAUGAUCAGCCACACUGGGACUGAGACACGGCCCAGACUCCUACGGGAGGCAGCAGUAGGGAAUAUUGGACAAUGGGGGCAACCCUGAUCCAGCAAUGCCGCGUGAGUGAUGAAGGCCUUAGGGUUGUAAAGCUCUUUUACCCGGGACGAUAAUGACUGUACCGGGAGAAUAAGCCCCGGCUAACUUCGUGCCAGCAGCCGCGGUAAUACGAAGGGUGCAAGCGUUACUCGGAAUUACUGGGCGUAAAGCGUGCGUAGGCGGUUUGUUAAGUCUGUCGUGAAAGCCCCGGGCUCAACCUGGGAAUGGCGAUGGAAACUGGCGAGCUAGAGUACGGUAGAGGAGAGUGGAAUUCCCGGUGUAGCAGUGAAAUGCGUAGAGAUCGGGAGGAACAUCAGUUGCGAAGGCGGCUCUCUGGACCAGUACUGACGCUGAGGCACGAAAGCGUGGGGAGCAAACAGGAUUAGAUACCCUGGUAGUCCACGCCCUAAACGAUGCGAACUGGACGUUGGGAGCAAUUAGGCUCUCAGUGUCGAAGCUAACGCGUUAAGUUCGCCGCCUGGGGAGUACGGUCGCAAGACUGAAACUCAAAGGAAUUGACGG